ensembl:lncRNA
CAGAUUCCACCUCUUCCCUCCCAGUGACUGACAGAUUCCACCUCUUCCCUCCCAGUGACUGACAGAUUCCACCUCUUCCCUCCCAGUGACUAACAGAUUUGGAGGUCAUUCUGCCAUGCGCACCGCCAUGCGGUGGUCCAAUUAAACUUCCCAAAGAGCAGUAACUCUAGCAGAGGUCCAAUAGUCCUUCCAGAAGAGCAGUAACUCUAGCAGAGGUCAAAUAGUUAUUCCAGAAGAGCAGUAACUCUAGCAGAGGUCCAAUAGUCCUUCCAGAAGAGCAGUAAUUCUAGCAGAGGUCCAAUAGUCCUUCCAGAAGAGCAGUAACUCUAGCAGAGGUCAAAUAGUUAUUCCAGAAGAGCAGUAACUCUAGCAGAGGUCCAAUAGUCCUUCCAGAAGAGCAGUAACUCUAGCAGAGGUCCAAUAGUCCUUCCAGAAGAGCAGUAACUCUAGUAGAGGUGAUGAAGUCUCCAUGUUGGUUUAACUGUAAAAGGACUUUCUCAGUACAUCUGCUGAGCUUUCUACCAGCACUCUUAAAAGUUCUUCACAACUUGUUUUUGCCUCAGAACUAACACUCUUGAUUAAAAUAAUAAAGUUAUCAUCAAGCAUUUGAUUUGAAUCAUGUGUAUUAGUCCAGCCCUUUGGGUUCCCAGGAUCAGGAUUAGAGCCAGGACCAGGAUUAGAACCAGGAUCAGGAUUAGAGCCAGGACCAGGAUUAGAACCAGGAUCGGGAUUAGAACCAGGAUCAGGAUUAGAACCAGGACCAGGAUUAGAACCAGGAUCAGGAUUAGAACCAGGACCAGGAUUAGAACCAGGAUCGGGAUUAGAACCAGGAUCAGGAUUAGAACCAGGACCAGGAUUAGAAC